UACGGAGGGUGCAAGCGUUAUCCGGAUUCACUGGGUUUAAAGGGUGCGUAGGAGGGCAGGUAAGUCAGUGGUGAAAUCUCCAAGCUUAACUUGGAAACUGCCGUUGAUACUAUCUGUCUUGAAUACCGUGGAGGUGAGCGGAAUAUGUCAUGUAGCGGUGAAAUGCUUAGAUAUGACAUAGAACACCACUUGCGAAGGCAGCUCGCUACACGAAUAUUGACUCUGAGGCACGAAAGCGUGGGGAUCAAACAGG
rnacentral:rRNA from 1 species